UACGUAGGGGGCAAGCGUUGUCCGGAAUUAUUGGGCGUAAAGCGCGCGCAGGCGGCGCUUUAAGUUGGGGGUUAAAGGCAAUGGCUCAACCAUUGUACGCCUCCAAAACUGGAGCGCUUGAGUGCAGCAGAGGAAAGUGGAAUUCCCGGUGUAGCGGUGGAAUGCGCAGAUAUCAGGAGGAACACCGGUGGCGAAGGCGGGUCUCUGGGCAGUAACUGACGCUGGAGGAGCGAAAGCGUGGGGAGCGAACAGG
rnacentral:rRNA from 1 species